GCUAGCGUAGCUCAAUUGGCAGAGCCACCGACUUGUAAUCGGUAGGUUGCGGGUUCGAGUCCCAUCGCUAGCUCCA
rnacentral:tRNA from 1 species